UAUUCAAAGAACAUGGUGGGUGAGAGUUCUGUGGGGGAAUUCACAUUGAAAUCUACUUAGAAGAAGAUCUUCACACAAUCUUGGAUCCAUGGACAAAAGACAUUCCUAUCCUGAACCCAUGGGGAUGACAGCGAGGAAGCUGAAGGCCCAUCAGCUACUUUCCUUUCUCUCUACAGCAGUUACUGCUUCUUUCUCACUCCAGUUUAUUCGCUGUCUCUUGUCAAGGCGGCUGCUCCAGGAGAGACUCAGAGAACCACAUGCAAAUUGAUUCUUUGUAAAUUCUCUUCAUUUAAAUUCCACUUUUUAACUUUCUCUUUCAAUUGUCCCUUAAUUUCAAAAGUCUCGUCUGGUUGACAACAGCAGUUCCCCAUUCUAUUUUAAUAAAGCAAGUUCUUCUUCGCAGAGAAAGAGCAAGCAAUUUCUUUUUUACAAAAUGCAGAAAACAUCAGUCAUCUCUAAUUAAUUUGGUGUUUAAUGUAAUAGCAAAGAAUUAUUCAUCUUUUCUCAUUUACUAGAAACUGUGAGAAGUCUGUUAUUUGUCUGUUCAAAUCCAAAUUUCUAUUUAAAUCUCAUUCUCAUUCACCACCUGCUGUAUACCUGCAGCAGAAACAAGACAGACUCCAGACAAUGCUUUUAGAUAUGCUUUAAUCACGACCAGGAGGACCUCAGUAUAACAGUAUAUAACAGUUAUAUUGCAUAUGUGCAUGACAAAGAUGACAUGAUUCAUUACAUCAUUUUUGUUUAAUAUCAUUGGUUCUUCCUAUGUUUGCUUGUUACUCAAGUUAUGAGUUGUUAUGGUUAUUCUUAUA